CUGGAAGGGGGACCCUGCACCUCCAGGCAGUUCUAGUGGUACCUGCAUCCCUGGGGAUACUGGCUGAUGGGACAGGGUUCUGCAGCCCUGUCAUGCUCCUCUCCUUUCAGCUUGCAUUCCCCCAAAGAGCUCAUAAGAAGAACUGAGGAGAGAUCCAAGACUGGGGCUUUUUCCCAUGGAAAGGUCACACAUCACCAUCCUUUCUUGGAAGUGGAGUGUUUGUCUGGGCUGCUCCAGCCACCUGGCCCUGAUACUGUUUACAACAUUAGUAUGGAUGUUACUUCUAGACCUAAUACAUCAAUGCUGCUACUCAUGGAUGUGGUCAGACUGGAACUGAACAGUGUUAUUCCAAAGUAGGUAUAGCUG